GCCUCGGUAGCAUAGUGGUAUUGCGCGUCCUUGGUAAGGACGAGGUCGCGAGUCCGAUUCUCGCCCGAGGCU
rnacentral:tRNA from 1 species